UCUGCUUUUCUAUAUUUUCUCUUCCGUGCACUCUCUCUCUCAGGUUGAACGAGACAUCUACGUUGGAGGUCAGGGACUACCGCAGGUCGGUAGUCCCCCGGCAGACAUGCCGGACCCCGACACCUCCAAGUUUAGGAGGCUUCUCUAAAAGCCUGCCUCCUCCCUGUCCCCUCACAGGACAUUUUCUUCCCACUAGCAUAAAAGGAGGGAGCUACUCUCAGGCUGCAUGCAGGGACAGUGCCCAGGGCUCUGAUGUGUCUCUCACAACUUGUUAAGCCUGAGACGGCUGCCAUGUAUGGGACUGAGACGCAGGAUUUCUUCCUCCCUCCCUUUUGUGACUUCAAGAGCCUCUGGCACCUCUUUCUGCAAAAGCAUCUGAAUGUGUCUGCGUCCCUGUUAG